rnacentral:rRNA from 1 species
UACGUAGGGUGCAAGCGUUGUCCGGAAUUAUUGGGCGUAAAGCGCGCGUAGGCGGCUUUGCAAGUCGGGUGUGAAAUCCCUCAGCUCAACUGAGGAAGUGCGCUCGAAACUGCAUGGCUUGAGUGUCGGAGAGGAUGGCGGAAUACCCCAAGUAGAGGUGAAAUGUGUAGAGAUCGGGAGGAACACCGGUGGCGAAGGCGGGUCUCUGGGCAAUUCCUGACGCUGAGGCGCGAAAGCGUGGGGAGCAAACGGG